rnacentral:rRNA from 1 species
UACGGAGGGGGCAAGCGUUGUUCGGAAUUAUUGGGCGUAAAGGGCGUGUAGGCGGCCGGAUAAGUCGGAUGUGAAAUCCCUCGGCUCAACUGAGGAACUGCAUUCGAUACUGUCUGGCUAGAGUCCGGGAGAGGGUAGCGGAAUUCCCAGUGUAGCGGUGAAAUGCGUAGAUAUUGGGAAGAACACCGGUAGCGAAGGCGGCUACCUGGACCGGCACUGACGCUGAGGCGCGAAAGCCAGGGGAGCGAAUGGG